AAGAAUUUAAAAGUCGAACAGACUUAAAAUUUGAACGGCUACACCCAAAAUUAUAUCUUAAUCCAACAUCGAGGUCGCAAUCUUUUUUAUCGAUAUGAACUCUCCAAAAAAAUUACGCUGUUAUCCCUAAAGUAACUUAAAUUUUUAAUCAUUAUUAAUGGAUCAAUUAUUCAUAAAUUAAUGGUUUUUAAAAUUAAAAGUUUUUUAAAUUUUAAUAUCACCCCAAUAAAAUAUUUUUAUUUAUUAUAACAAAAUUAAUCUUUAUAAUUAAAAUAAACAAAAUAUAAAGAUUUAUAGGGUCUUCUCGUCUUUUAAAUUUAUUUCAGCUUUUUAACUAAAAAAUAAAAUUCUAUAAAAAAUUUAAAUGAAACAGUUAAUAUUUCGUCCAACCAUUCAUUCCAGCCUUCAAUUAAAAGACUAAUGAUUAUGCUACCUUUGCACAGUUAAAAUACUGCGGCCAUUUAAAAUUUUCAGUGGGCAGGUUAGACUUUAAAUUUACUUCAAAAAGAC
rnacentral:rRNA from 1 species